GACUUCUAUUUUCUAAAAGCAACUCUACUGGGAGACUUAUGCUGAGGAAAGUAUGUGGUUAUCAGACUCAGUGCCCACGGUGGAUGACUCUUAAAGUCUUUUUUUCUUCCUUUUCUUCUUUUGUUUUCUUUGUAGAGAAGGGAUCUCGCUUUGUCACCCAGGCUUGAGUGCAGUGGCCUGAUCACGGCUCACUGCACCCUUGACUUCCCGGGCUCAAGCGAUCCUCCCAACUCAGCUUCCCCAAGUAGCUGGAAUACAGGCAUGGCUACCACGACUGACUAAUUUAUUUAUUUAUUUAUUUAUUUUAGAUGGAGUUUCACUCUGUCGCUUAGGCUGGAGUGCAGUGGCACGAUCUCGGCUCUCUGUAACCUCCGCCUCGCGGAUUCAAACGACUCUCCUGUCUCAGCCUCCAGAGUAGCUGGGACUACAGGUGCAUGCCACCACGCCCAGCUAAUUUUUGUAUUUUUAAUACAGACAGAGUUUCACCAUGUUGGCCAGGCUGAUCUCCAACUCCUGACAUCAGGUGAUCCGCCCUUCUCGGCUUCUCAAAGUGCUGGGAUUACAGGUGUGAGCCACUGCCCAUGGCUAAUUUUGUGUGUGUGUGUGUGUGUAGAGAUGAGGUUUUGCCAUGUUGCCCAGGAUGGUCUCGAACUCCUGGGCUCAAGCGAUUUGCCCGCCUCGGCCUCCCAAAGUGCUGGGAUUACAGGGGUGAACCACCAUGCCUGGCUGACUCCUAUUAAUACAUUCCACCAAAACCAUUAUUUUAUAAAAGAUAUUAGCAAAUUUUGAGUUUAUGUGCUUUGGCUAGUUUCUUUACUGCAGAAACUGGCUCCAGCCAAACCUCUGUUUAAUUUAGAAUUCCUUUCUCGGCUUUCCCUUUUUGUACGGCUAAAACUGAGAAUGAUCCACUGCAUAGAGAUGGAAAAUAAGUGAGAUAAGGUUGUGACAUUUUAAUAGCAACUGCUUAAUCACAUAAAUUUUUCGUAAUCUUAACUUUCAGCCUCUGUAUUGUAACUUCUGUCAGCUAAGACUUUUCUGAGAAUAACUCAACAGUUUCAAAAUGUAUUGUCCCAUUCAAAUCUUUGUCAAGAGCAGUACUACCUCUCUCACGAUGUUGUUUCACAUCUGAAAGUUAAAUAAUGCACAAAUAUCACUGCAUCCUCCCAAACCAAAGGGAAAGGGGAGCAUCUGCCAGCUCCACAAGAUCCCAAUUUGAAGUCCCCAAAGCUUUCCUCCAACUAUAUUCUAACUAGUCACAGACACUAAAUCGUAGAACAGAAAUGCACCUUUGAAAAUUUUCAGUUCAACACCUCCAUUGUACAUAUGGGGAAAUCAGGACAUAGGUUGUCAGAUUUGACACCAACAAACAACACUGUGGACAAGACAAAUCUCCAAUCUCCAGGAUCUAUUGGUAUACCCAAAUAGCUUCGCCUUCCUUCAAAAUUUUACCACCUUAUCACUUGACGUUAGGAGUUCGAGGCCAGCCUCACCAAUACCCAUGUCUACUAAAAACACAAAAAAAUAGCUGGGCAUAGUGUAAUCCCAGCUACAGGUAAAGACAUGAGAAUCGCUUGAACCUGGGAAGCAGAGGUUGCAGUGAGCCGAGAUCGCCCCACUGCACUCCAGCCUGGGUGACAGAGCGAGACUCCGUCUCAAAAAAACACAAAACUACCACCUUAGCCCCCAACCUACUUUUCCACGCAUCUUUCUCGUUAUCCUUUAAACAGAUUAUUUCUCAGCCAAACAAACGUCGCUCUUUUUCUAGGUACAGCUUUCUUCUUGCUUCCACACCUAUGUCAGAACAGUUAUAGCCUCUUUAUCCUCCCUUACCACUUAAAUCCUACCCAUCCUUUAGAUUUAUCCCCGUUUUCCAAACAAUUCCUAUUGGCUCAAACAUUCUGCUUCGGAAGCCCUAUUCUGACUUGGCAGGCCUAUGGCAGUCUGUUAACUUGACUUUCCGCUUCGUGAGAGGCUUAGGCUCGGAUAACCCGUUAGUAACCAUGCAGAGGUGAGGACCCAAAGACAGGAACACUAGAAAGCAGAAACUAUCCUAAGAGCCCACCGAAUUUCCGCUUACAUGAGUAACCGAGACAACCGUCAGAUGCGCGUGCGCACAGGCCCCGUUCCCAGAGCUCCCCUCGCCCUACGAGGGCCCGGCGGGCCAAAACAGAGGCCCGCCCCGCCCCACCCCACGCCUCACCGCGAAGUAGCCCAGCCCCAGGACUGUGACCAGAGAGGGCAAGGGUCUUGCUGGACGGAAAUAGGCGGUAGCCGCAUUGCUGGCCUCCGACUUCACCAUCCUCUUGAAAAACCCAGACACAGAGUUGGCUGGGAGCUCCCCAGCCGUCCCCGCCCCCAUAUAAGAAAAGCCUGGCUAGCCGGUUUCUCAGGGCCCUGGGCGCCCGCCCAAGACCCUGGCGGACCAGUAUGCUUGCUCUCAUUGCGGAGUCUGGUCCCCUCCCCUCCGCUCCUAGCGCGCGGGAGUCGGGAUUGUGCUUGCACGACUUCCCCCGGCCCGCGGCCUGUGAGCCCAGGUCCUGGGGUGAACCGAGCGCUCGCUCGUUCGUCAGACCGUAGCGCUCCAGCGGCUGUCCUUACUGUGUAGUAGCCAAAGCUGAGGGUGAUGACUGUGAACCAGAACAGACUGCCUCGCUGAAAGUAGGUCGCGCCGGCUGCCGUAGCCAUGGCUGCAACACCUCCCCGGGAGCGCGCUUCAGGACACCGUCGAGCGCGAGCGCGGAGGCAGGGCCGGGGCCGGCCCGCGCUCCCUCGCCAUCCCCGCAGGGAGAAGAUGGUGCUGGUUGGGAAGUCCCUGAGAGCGAGUCUCCCUGUCUGGCCCCAGUACAGGGGCCUUGGAAUCACACCUGGGCUCAGAGUCACUUGGAACUCUUCUGUGGCAUCUGAAGCAGAUGGACGAAGCCAAGAGGGCCGAGAGUAUCUCAGCACCUAGAAAUGGACAAGGCUGGUUAUUAGAACAAAGAUUUCGCAGGUGAGGCAAGAAUCUGCAUCAAAGAG
rnacentral:lncRNA from 1 species